UACGGAGGUGGCAAGCGUUGUUCGGAAUUACUGGGCGUAAAGGGCGCGUAGGCGGCGCGGCAAGUCAGGUGUGAAAGCCCCGGGCUUAACUCGGGAACUGCAUCUGAAACUGCCAUGCUUGAGUCCUGGAGGGGGUAGUGGAAUUCCCAGUGUAGCGGUGAAAUGCGUAGAUAUUGGGAGGAACACCUGUGGCGAAGGCGGCUACCUGGACAGUGACUGACGCUGAGGCGCGAAAGCUAGGGGAGCGAACGGG
rnacentral:rRNA from 1 species